rnacentral:rRNA from 1 species
AUACGGAGGGUGCGAGCGUUAAUCGGAAUUACUGGGCGUAAAGCGUGCGUAGGCGGUUUGCUAAGUCAGAUGUGAAAGCCCCGGGCUUAACCUGGGAACUGCAUUUGAUACUGGCAGACUAGAGUAUGAUAGAGGGGGGUAGAAUUCCUGGUGUAGCGGUGAAAUGCGUAGAUAUCAGGAGGAAUACCAGUGGCGAAGGCGGCCCCCUGGGUCAAUACUGACGCUGAGGUACGAAAGCGUGGGGAGCGAACAGGAUUAGAAACCCUAGUAGUCC